AACCUAGCACACCUGCGGUGUGUACCUGCGGAGGGAUCAUUACCGAGUUUACAAACUCCCAACCCUUUGUGAACCUUACCAUAUUGUUGCUUCGGCGGGACCGCCCCGGCGCCUUCGGGCCCGGAACCAGGCGCCCGCCGGAGGCCCCAAACUCUUAUGUCUUUAGUGGUUUUCUCCUCUGAGUGACACAUAAACAAAUAAAUAAAAACUUUCAACAAUGGAUCUCAGAUCGGAAGAGCA
rnacentral:misc_RNA from 1 species